rnacentral:rRNA from 1 species
AGAGUUUGAUCAUGGCUCAGGAUGAACGCUAGCGGCAGGCUUAAUACAUGCAAGUCGUACGGGAUCCGAGGUAGCAAUACUUUGGUGAGAGUGGCGCACGGGUGCGUAACACGUAUGCAACCUACCUAUAACCGGGACACAACCCACCGAAAGGUGAGCUAAUAUCCCAUAACACUGCGAGAUGGCAUCAUUUUGCAGUUAAAACUCCGGUGGUUACAGAUGGGCAUGCGCGACAUUAGCUAGUUGGUGAGGUAACGGCCCACCAAGGCUACGAUGUCUAGGGGUUCUGAGAGGAUUAUCCCCCACACUGGUACUGAGACACGGACCAGACUCCUACGGGAGGCAGCAGUAAGGAAUAUUGGUCAAUGGGCGCAAGCCUGAACCAGCCAUGCCGCGUGAAGGAUGACGGCCCUAUGGGUUGUAAACUUCUUUUGUACGGGAAAAAACCACAGGUCGAGUAUCUGUGCUGAUGGUACCGUAAGAAUAAGCAUCGGCUAACUCCGUGCCAGCAGCCGCGGUAAUACGGAGGAUGCAAGCGUUAUCCGGAUUCAUUGGGUUUAAAGGGUGCGCAGGCGGAAUAAUAAGUCAGUGGUGAAAGCCUACAGCUUAACUGUAGAACUGCCAUUGAUACUGUCAUUCUUGAGUAUUGUUGAGGUAGGCGGAAUGUGUCAUGUAGCGGUGAAAUGCUUAGAUAUGACACAGAACACCGAUCGCGAAGGCAGCUUACCAAGCAAUAACUGACGCUCAUGCACGAAAGCGUGGGGAUCAAACAGGAUUAGAUACCCUGGUAGUCCACGCCGUAAACGAUGAUCACUCGAUGUUGGCGAUACACAGUCAGCGUCUUAGGGAAACUAUUAAGUGAUCCACCUGGGGAGUACGGUCGCAAGAUUGAAACUCAAAGGAAUUGACGG